GACAGAGGGUGCGAACGUUGUUCGGAAUUACUGGGCGUAAAGCGCGUGUAGGCGGCAACGCAAGUCGGGCGUGAAAUCCCACGGCUCAACUGUGGAAGUGCACUCGAAACUGCGUAGCUAGAGUCCUGGAGAGGAAGGUGGAAUGCUUGGUGUAGAGGUGAAAUUCGUAGAUAUCAAGCGGAACACCGGUGGCGAAGGCGGCCUUCUGGACAGUGACUGACGCUGAGACGCGAAAGCGUGGGGAGCGAACAGG
rnacentral:rRNA from 1 species